GACGAACGCUGGCGGCGUGCUUAACACAUGCAAGUCGAACGAAGUGGCGAACGGGUGAGUAACGCGUAAUCAACCUGCCCUUCAGAGGGGGAAAACAGUUGGAAACGACCGCUAAUACCGCAUACUGCAGUAGGGGAUUUAUUCUGAUUGGCUAGGUGGAGGGGUAACGGCCCACAAAGGCGAUGAUCAGUAGCCGGUCUGAGAGGAUGACCGGCCACAUUGGGACUGAGACACGGCCCAGACUCCUACGGGAGGCAGCAGUGGGGAAUCUUCCGCAAUGGACGAAAGUCUGACGGAGCAACGCCGCGUGAGUGAUGACGGCCUUCGGGUUGUAAAGCUCUGUUAAUCGGGACGCGGUACCGGAAUAGAAAGCCACGGCUAACUACGUGCCAGCCGCCGCGGUAAUAC
rnacentral:rRNA from 1 species